rfam:Dipodomys ordii contig_59085, whole genome shotgun sequence.
UGACUCAGUGGUAGAGUGCUUGCCUUGCAUGCAUGAGGCCCUGGGUUCAAUUCCUCAG